rnacentral:rRNA from 1 species
UUCGGCCUGGUUAUUCAUAACCCUUUGUUGUCCGACUCUGUUGCCUCCGGGGCGACCCUGCCUUCGGGCGGGGGCUCCGGGUGGACACUUCAAACUCUUGCGUAACUUUGCAGUCUGAGUAAACUUAAUUAAUAAAUUAAAACUUUUAACAACGGAUCUCUUGGUUCCGGCAUCGAUGAAGAACGCAGCGAAAUGCGAUAAGUAAUGAGAAUUGCAUAAUUCAAUGAAUCAGCGAAUCUUUGAACGCACAUUGCGCCCCCUGGUAUUCCGGGGGGCAUGCCUGUUCGAGCGUCAUUUCACCACUCAAGCCUCGCUUGGAAUUGGGCAACGCGGUCCGCCGCGUGCCUCAAAUCCUCCGGCUGGGUCUUCUGUCCCCUAAGCGUUGUGGAAACUAUUCGCUAAAGGGUGUUCGGGAGGCUACGCCGUAAAACAACCCCAUUUCUAAAGUUGACCUCAGAUCAGGUAGGGAUACCCGCUGAACUUAAGCAUAUCAAU